AAUGAACGCUGGCGGCAUGCCUAACACAUGCAAGUCGAACGAAGGCUUCGGCCUUAGUGGCGCACGGGUGCGUAACGCGUGGGAAUCUGCCCUUGGGUUCGGAAUAACAGUUAGAAAUGACUGCUAAUACCGGAUGAUGUCGUAAGACCAAAGAUUUAUCGCCCAAGGAUGAGCCCGCGUAGGAUUAGCUAGUUGGUGGGGAAAAGGCCUACCAAGGCGACGAUCCUUAGCUGGUCUGAGAGGAUGAUCAGCCACACUGGGACUGAGACACGGCCCAGACUCCUACGGGAGGCAGCAGUGGGGAAUAUUGGACAAUGGGCGAAAGCCUGAUCCAGCAAUGCCGCGUGAGUGAUGAAGGCCUUAGGGUUGUAAAGCUCUUUUACCCGGGAUGAUAAUGACAGUACCGGGAGAAUAAGCUCCGGCUAACUUCGUG
rnacentral:rRNA from 1 species